GAUGAACGCUGGCGGCGUGCCUAAUACAUGCAAGUCGAGCGAACAGACGAUGAUCUUGCUCCUCUGACGUUAGCCGCGGACGUGUGAGUAACACGUGUAUAACCUACCUAUAAUACUGAUAUAACUUUGGGAAUCCGGCUCUAAUACCGUAUAAUAUAUUGAACCGCAUGGGGCAAUAGUGAAAUUCGGCGUUUGUGGCACGACUAGAUGGAUCCGCGCCGGAUUAGCUGGUUGGUAAGGUAACGGGUUACCACGGCGAGGAUGCGUAGCCGAAUUGAGAGGGUGAUAGGCCACACUGGAACUGAGACACGGUCCAGAGUCCUAAGAGAGGCCGCAGUAGGCAAUCUUCCGCAAUGGGCGAAAGCCUGACGGAGCAACGCCACGUGAGUGAUGAAGGUCUUCGGAUCGUAAAACUCUGUUAUUAGGGAAGAACAAAUGUGUCAGUAACUAUGCACGUCUUGACGGUACCUGAUCAGAAAGCCCCGGCUAACUACGUG
rnacentral:rRNA from 1 species